rnacentral:rRNA from 1 species
UACGGAGGAUGCAAGCGUUAUCCGGAUUCACUGGGUUUAAAGGGUGCGUAGGCGGAUAUGUAAGUCCGUGGUGAAAUCUCUGGGCUUAACCCGGAAACUGCCAUGGAUACUAUGUGUCUUGAAUGUUGUUGAGGUGAGCGGAAUAUGUCAUGUAGCGGUGAAAUGCUUAGAUAUGACAUAGAACACCAAUUGCGAAGGCAGCUCACUAAGCAAAUAUUGACGCUGAGGCACGAAAGCGUGGGGAUCAAACAGG